CAUAUAUUAUUUUUUCUUCUUUCUUCUUCUCUUUCCUUCUUCCCAUGUUCUUUUUUUCUCUGCGUGUGUUUGAGAGUUGGAUUGAGAGAGAUAUACGAUCGAUGAAUUAGAAGACGUUGAUGCAUAGAUGAGGGUGGUGUUGAUGUUGAUUAACUCUGAAGAAGAAGAAGAAGAUUAAGUUUCUACUGUAAAUCGAAGUUAGGGUUUCUGUGAACAAAGAUUAGGAAUUAGAUUUGGUGAAGGUUAUGAAGAAAUUUAAGGAUGAGUUGGUUGAUUUGUUCAUGAUGGUGGCGUUGAAUAAGGUUUUUAUUCAAACUUAGCAGAGGAGGUAAAUCGAAGAACUAGGGUUUUUCAGAGGAUUGUUUAGAGGUUCGAUUAAUGAUGAAUAAGAUGGGAUUAGAGAUGGGUUUUACCUGAAUUAGAGUUUGAGGUUGAAGUAUCACUUAAAUCGAUAGUUAUGGUUUGAUUGUGUUUAUGAGAUUGAUGAUUUGAAUAUAUUGAAGAAGCUGGGAUUUGAUCUGGUAAAUAAGAAGGUGAUAUAUCCAGUUGAAAUAGUUGAAGAUUAAGAGGGUUGAUGUUUGAGCACGGAUGGUUUGAGGUAAUUACUUUUUCAGUAAUUUAGUCAAGUUAUUAAUUACAAUUAAAGUUUAUAAUUUUUUCAAUAAACUAUGAAGUCUGUUUGAGGUUGAAUUAGUGAUUAAUUGUUGAGGUUAGAAGAUAUUGGAUGAAACUGUUUUAAUGGAAUUGUUGGUAGUGAUGAUGUUGUGGUUUAUGAGAUUGAACUGGAUUGUGUGAUUGAUUUGUUUGGUUCUAGUUCACGGAGUAGGCAGUGAAGUUAUGGAUGCUACAGAUUCAGUGGUUUGAACUAUAAUGACGUAUUGAGAUAUGUUACAGGUAUGCGAAUGGUGUUGUUGUUGUGUUGAGGUGCAGGGUAUGAUUGAAGUUAUAGAGGGUUAAGUGGUACUAUGGAUGUUGUCCAGAUUACAGCUGCAACUGAAAGGGAAAAAGUGAUGAUAAUGGAUUGAGAUUCAGCUGUGAUUGAGUUGAAGUUUAUAUAAAUGAUUGUAAUGGAUAGUCUUAUUGCAGUCUAGUGACAUUUAGUAACAUGAGAUGAUGAUGAUGUGACAAUGAAGUCACAUUUGAUGUGACUUAGAUAAGUAAACUUAAUGGUGGGUUGGUAUUGUUGUAUAUAAGGACGUGGUAGUGUUACUAAACUUGCAGAGAACUUGGAAGAAUGGUUGGAGAACAUUGGAGUGUAAACUGAGUGCUGAUUUGGUGUCAGUAUUGAAUUGUUAGUGUUAUUGAACCAGGUAGUUCUGAUUUGGUUAAGAUGGAUGUAGGGUUUGUUUGAAUGUGCAGAAGUGGUAAUGUUGUUAGUGUUUAGAUUCUUCAGGUUGUAGGGGUAUAACUAAGAGCUGAGUUUGUGUUGUGCAGAGUUGGGUUGUAGUUGGAGUGAACUUACAGUUUUAUUGGAGUUAAAUCUCUCUUAUAGAAAGUUGUUGCUAAAAGCUGCAAUUGCAGUUCGUCUUUAUUAACAACGAUCGAUUCUAAGGAUGAACCAGUGAAUGGUGGAUCUCGAGGUAGGAGUGGCUUGUCAUCAAAAGAGGUGGGAAUCUAUAUUUAACUCUUUUGUAAAUCGUUGUUGUUUAUUUUAAAAAAGUUUAUGUUUAACAAACUCAUGCAUUGUCUGUUUGUCCAUUUCAUGCUUUCUUUAGUUUGCAUUACGAUUGUUCUUUUGAUUUUUUUGAAUCUUUCCGCGAUUUGGAAAGGACUUGUAAUGUUUGUUAUCAUCAAGAAUUGUUAUGGGAAAUGAGAAUUUCCACAUGUGGUAUAUAGGAUGCUCUCCUUCACAUUAUAUCUAUUAUAUGUUUAUUCGGUGUGAAAUUGGCAUCAAUAUUACUAUUUGGUAUGGAAUUGGCAUCAACAUUAUACAUUAUUUGAAGAAGGAGUUUCUCCAUAUACAUGUUUGUUUAUUUCAGUGACUUAGCCGUUAUGUUCUUAAUGUUUGGCAAAACAUGUAUUUCUUUCCAAGUCUUUCCCAUGAUUUCUUGAAAGUUAAAUGUUAUUUUUACUGGGCACCCCUUUUAGGGAUGAUGUGGUCACACACUCCCACAUUCAGUUUCAGAGACAGAUCAGAUUUACGCAGCGGAAGCUUCGAGGAGUACACUCCGUUAGUUAGUUAACUUCUGCUAUGCUUAUUAUGUUGUUUAUUCUAUUUGCAAACCAAAUGACUAUUGUAUAUGUAUCAUUUGAGAGGAAUUCUUGUAUAUAUUUCAGAGAGGGGUUUAUUCUUGGGUUAAGUUUUUGUAGAAGAUUUCUUAAUUGUAUGUUUAAUAAAGUGUUUUAGAUCCUUA